GUGGCAGCCGCCGCGGUAAUACGGAGGGUGCAAGCGUUAUCCGGAUUCAUUGGGUUUAAAGGGUGCGCAGGCGGAUACUUAAGUCAGUGGUGAAAUCCCGGGGCUCAACCCCGGAACUGCCAUUGAUACUGAAUAUCUGGAAUACGGUUGAAGUGGGCGGAAUGUAGCAUGUAGCGGUGAAAUGCAUAGAGAUGCUACAGAACACCGAUCGCGAAGGCAGCUCACUAAGCCGAUAUUGACGCUCAGGCACGAAAGCGUGGGGAGCGAACAGGAUUAGAUACCCUGGUAGUCCACGCCGUAAACGAUGAUAACUCGUUGUUGGCGACACACAGUCAGCGACUAAGCGAAAGCGAUAAGUUAUCCACCUGGGGAGUACGAUCGCAAGGUUGAAACUCAAAUGAAUUGACGG
rnacentral:rRNA from 1 species